GAAGAGACGCGGUGCGCACGCGCGUGAGGGAUGUCGCGGCUUCCCUAGAUUAGGCUUGGGAGGCAAGGGGAGGCCUCCUGACUUUUCUCACUGCCUUCGUUAAUAUAAAGAUGAAGGCACACUCCACAACUUCCUUCUGGCCAGGCCCAGACAUGUCUGUCCUUGUGAGAUAAAAGCUUCCAUGGGAGCCUUCCUUCCUAAUCAAGAUGCAAAUAGUACGGUAUUCCGAACAGACACUAAAAAUAGCUGUCAUCUCAAAGAAUCCAGUGCUUGUGUCACAGUAUGAGAAAGUAGAUGCUGGGGAACAGCGUUUAAUGAAUGAAGCAUUCCAGCCAGCCAGUGAUCUCUUUGGACCUUGCAUUCUCCAUCAGAUUGGAUCACCUCCCACCCUGAGGCCCCCCAAGACUUUGAACAGUUCUUCAGUCAUCCUUACAGAAAGAUACCCUCUCCAGACAAACGCAGUAUUUAUAUACGGUCCAUUGGAUCUCUAUGAAGCACCAGAAUUAUCAGUGAAGAAUAUAUUAAAUGGCUCACGGGCUACUGUAAAGCAUAUUUCUAUCGCUUGAGAGUAAAACUGCUAGAACCAGUUCCUGUUUCUACAACAAGGUGUUCCUUUAGAGUCAAUGAGAACACACAAAACCUACAAAUUCAUGCAGGGGACAUCCUGAAGUUCUUGAAAAAGAAGAAACCUGAAGAUGCCUUCUGUGUUGUGGGAAUAACAAUGAUUGAUCUUUACCCAAGAGACUUGUGGAAUUUUGUCUUUGGACAGGCCUCUUUGACAGAUGGCACUGGUGAGGUGGAUUGAUGAUGAAUCUUCUGGCACACCUGGAGCAACUCCAGAACACAGUCGUGAGGAUAAUGGGAAUUUACUGAAACCCGUGGAAGGAAGCCUUUAAGGAAUGGAAAGAGUGGAUAAUAAAAUGCCUGACUGUUCUCCAAAAAUAAGGACCUUCAAAUAGGAGUGAUUGAAAUAAAUGACUACUUGCAUGUUAUGCUUUCAUUUGGGUGGAAUACUUCAUCAGAAUAAACUAUUGAUCUUGUGCUGUGUCAAAGUAACAGACUAGAACCUUCUUUCAAGUACCUGAAUUGAAAUGAAACUCAUUUUGAAUAAUAAAAACUCUAGAAACUCUU
ensembl:lncRNA AMZ2P1 AMZ2 pseudogene 1